rnacentral:tRNA from 1 species
GGGGCUGUAGCUCAGUGGUAGAGCACCUGCCUAGCAUGCAUGAGGCACUGGGUUCAAUCCUCAGCACCA